CGGACACAUUAAGUGCUCAGUUUGUGCAAUUGGCCCUUAAUAUUUGACAUUUACAAAGUAGUCAAAUAAUUUUUUAGUCUGUAAUUUUAAGUUUUUAACCCAUAAAUUUUACAUAAUCAUGUCUUGCUCCCACUAAAUAUUGUUGUUGGGUUCGACUCUGUUUUGACUUUUUAAAAGUCAUGCCGAAUUGGUUCUUAUUGUGUUUAGAUGAGAAUCAUACUUAAGGGUCAUUGUAGAUCUUUUUAGUCGUAUUUCCUUAAACGUAAUGAGGGAAAGUGUCAAAAGAGGAAAAAUAGCCAUUCAAAAGUUCAUAGAUAAAGAAAGAGUAGAACAAGGAAAGAGUAUUUAUGUGAUAUAUAUUUUUAUUUAUUUAUUUGUCCUGGGUUGGUGAGUCCUGUAGCUGAAAGUACAGGCAAAAAUUUAAUUAGUAUAAAUUCUGAAAAUUGGGAUAUACAGUGCAAGAGGAAAUUAAAUGAAUAGCGUCUGAGAGGACCAUGAAAACACAUGGAAAAGAAACCCCAAUUCAGUUUUUUCCUCCGGUUCGAAGCUUUAAUUAUGCAAAGGGUGUCGGAGACACACUCAUUUCGCUUUUUGACUCUAAACUGAAGGGUUAAUGAUCAAUAAAGGCAUGAAAAGGUGAAAUGUGGGGUUGGAACUUGGAAGUGGGAUUCUUGAUGAGUGGGAGACAGAGAUAAAAGUGAAGGAUUAAAGUGUGUUGAUUUUGAUUUUAAAUGUAAAUUUACAAAAACUUGUCAAACAGUAUAACUGGGUUGAGGUUAAUAAUAAUAAUAAUAAUUGAGUUGAAGCUUUUCGUUUAACAAAAUAUGUUAAGGGUUUGUUUGGCAUGAGUUGAAGCUUUUCGCUUAACAAAAAAUGUUAAGGGUUUGUUUGACAUGACUUUGAGAAGUCAGAAGAUAGUUUUGAGAAUAAAAGUUGAUUUUAAUCCCUACCAAAUAGGAGUGUAAGCGGUCCGAUUUUACUGAUUUUGACAGAUUUUCAAACCAAACUAUUUAAACCAGGUUUGAGAAAAAUUCAAAUCUAACCCAAACCAUUUUGAAUGGUUUGAGAAAAAUUCAAACCUAAAUUUAACACUUUGGUCCGGUUUUAAACUGUCGAUUUCAUCAUAUAAUUUUUUGCAUGUCUAAUUUUAUGUCAUUAAUUUAAUAUAUAUUUAUAUCUUAC
rnacentral:lncRNA from 1 species